rnacentral:rRNA from 1 species
CAGUCGCCGCGGGAAUACGAAGGGGGCUAGCGUUGUUCGGAUUUACUGGGCGUAAAGGGCGCGUAGGCGGAAUUGUAAGUCAGGGGUGAAAUCCCGAGGCUCAACCUCGGAACUGCCUUUGAUACUGUGGAUCUUGAGUCCGGGAGAGGUGAGUGGAACUGCGAGUGUAGAGGUGAAAUUCGUAGAUAUUCGCAGGAACACCAGUGGCGAAGGCGGCUCACUGGCCCGGAACUGACGCUGAGGCGCGAAAGCGUGGGGAGCAAACAGGAUUAGAUACCCGAGUAGUCCCUGUCUCUUAUAC